GACGAACGCUGGCGGCGUGCUUAACACAUGCAAGUCGAGCGAUGAAGUUUCCUUCGGGAAAUGGAUUAGCGGCGGACGGGUGAGUAACACGUGGGUAACCUGCCUCAUAGAGGGGAAUAGCCUUUCGAAAGGAAGAUUAAUACCGCAUAAGAUUGUAAUGUCGCAUGACAUAGCAAUUAAAGGAGCAAUCCGCUAUGAGAUGGACCCGCGUCGCAUUAGCUAGUUGGUGAGGUAACGGCUCACCAAGGCGACGAUGCGUAGCCGACCUGAGAGGGUGAUCGGCCACAUUGGGACUGAGACACGGCCCAGACUCCUACGGGAGGCAGCAGUGGGGAAUAUUGCACAAUGGGGGAAACCCUGAUGCAGCAACGCCGCGUGAGUGAUGACGGUCUUCGGAUUGUAAAGCUCUGUCUUUAGGGACGAUAAUGACGGUACCUAAGGAGGAAGCCACGGCUAACUACGUGCCAGCCGCCGCAGUAAGAC
rnacentral:rRNA from 1 species